rnacentral:RNase_P_RNA from 3 species
UCAGCAAGCCUUGAACCUAGAAAGUGGGGGGAGGAAAGUCCGGACACCAUUCUAAAUCAGGAAAGUCGCUAACGGCGACCGUUGCCAGUGCUUCGCACUGGGAAAUUUAUCCAAUCUCUCCAAUCUGACCAAUCUUACCAAUCUAAGAAAUUAAAUUGGCGAAGGUUGGAAUAAAUUGGAUUAAAUUGGUUAGAUUGACCAAUGCGGAGCGUUGGUGAUAGGGAAAGUGCCACAGAGACAAUACUAACCAGUGCUUCGCACUGGAAUCAUCAAAUCUCAAAAUCCAAAUCCCAAACAGAUUAUUGUUUGAUAUUUGGUGCUUGGGACUUGGUAUUUCCAACGCGGAGCGUUGGUGAAAGGUGAAAAGCAACAGGGUGUUGAAGUGUUGAAUGGCGGGUUAAUCCCGCCAAUCGGCUCCAAAGCUACCUGUCGGACUCCGUCGUGAGACGGAUGUUCUGGCAAACCCUUUCCGGUGCAAGUUGGGCUGGACCGUGUCCGUCAAUCGCUUUGGUUUAGACGAGGCGGACAAGGACCCUAACGCUUGAGAUUAAUGGCAACAUUAACCCCAGAUAGAUGACUACUUCACCCACCAAAGUUUUGCUUUCGCAAAAUUUAGGCGGGCAAGACAGAAUCCGGCUUACGGCUGGCAAA